AACUACAUUAAAUUAAUAACAAUUCAAAUUACUUUCUUUGAAAGCAGUGACAACAAAAACAACGUUAAUCUACUCUCAAUGUUUCAUCUACACCAUCACUGUGUAUUUGAAUCAGUAGUUAACGUUGUAUCUGUUACUAAACUAUUUCACCAUCUACACUUAUUUUAGAUU